UAUGGCCAGGCCGCGUGUUCUCGCGAUGUUUGCUGCUGUCGCCCCUGUGCCGCCCACGGCCGGGAGCGAAGGUCUCGCGAGGCUUGGGCGCUGCGGCGGUUGGAGGAGGACGGGGAAGGACGGAGCCGAGCCACGGCUGCCUCCCUCGCUGACUCCCUCGCGCGCACGCCCACCCCCUCCCUCCCUCCCCUCCCUUCCCCCGCCCCGACCCAUUCGCUGUUCUGUCUUGUGCUAGGGAGGAUGUCGGGCUCCUCGCUCCCUAGCGCCUUGGCCCUCUCGCUGGUGCUGGUCUCUCUCUCCCUCCUCCCAGGGCCGGGCGUUGCUCAGAACGCUGGGUUUGUCAAGUCGCCCAUGUCAGAAACUAAGCUCACGGGGGACGCCUUUGAGCUGUACUGUGACGUGGUCGGGAGCCCCACGCCAGAGAUCCAGUGGUGGUACGCAGAAGUCAACCGGGCAGAGUCUUUCAGACAGCUGUGGGACGGUGCUCGGAAGCGCCGUGUCACCGUAAACACCGCCUACGGGUCAAACGGCGUGAGUGUGCUGAGAAUAACCCGGCUCACCUUGGAGGACUCUGGGACUUACGAGUGCAGGGCCAGCAACGACCCCAAGAGGAAUGACUUGAGGCAAAACCCUUCCAUAACAUGGAUUCGAGCCCAGGCCACCAUAAGCGUCCUUCAGAAGCCAAGGAUUCUCACCAGUGAAGAGGUCAUUAUAAGAGAAAGCCCCGGUCCUGUCACCCUCCAGUGUAACCUCACCUCCAACUCUCACACCCUUGCAUUCAGCUACUGGACAAAGAAUGGGGUAGAACUGACUGCCACUCGUAAGAAUGCCAGCAACAUGGAAUACAGGAUCAAUAAGCCACGAGCUGAGGAUUCAGGCGAAUACCACUGUGUAUAUCAUUUUGUCAACGCUCCUAAAGCAAAUGCCACCAUCGAAGUGAAAGCUGCUCCUGAUAUCACUGGCCACAAACGGAGUGAGAAUAAGAAUGAGGGGCAGGAUGCCAUGAUGUAUUGCAAAUCAGUUGGCUACCCCUACCCAGAGUGGAUAUGGCGCAAGAAGGAGAAUGGUAUGCUCGUGGACAUUGUCAAUUCCUCUGGCCGCUUCUUCAUUACCAACAAGGAGAAUUACACUGAGCUGAGUAUUACAAAUCUCCAGAUCACAGAAGACCCUGGCGAGUAUGAAUGUAAUGCGACCAACUCUGUCGGCACUGCCUCUGUUGUCACAAUCCUCAGGGUACGGAGCCACCUGGCCCCACUCUGGCCUUUUUUGGGAAUUUUGGCUGAAAUUAUCAUCCUUGUGGUGAUCAUUGUUGUGUAUGAGAAGAGGAAGAGGCCAGAUGAGGUUCCCGACGUUACAGACAGAUGCAUAUACAUACCUACCUUCUUUUGGAAUGAAUGAAGAGACAGACACAUUCUGAAACAAACUUGGGGAGUUAGAAGAGAUGAUGAACCAGCUGGGCCAAUGAAAACCAACUCUACCAACAAUCACAAAGAUAAAAACUUGCGCCAGAGAAACACAAAUUAAAUACUGCUUACAAUAUCUUUAGGUUCCUGAAACUGGGGGCAUCAUGACCUGCUCAAUUUUCUGCUUGGACCUCUUUGAUCUCUCCCCUUCAAGUGAGCAACACAAUGACCGUCUAAAGCAUGCCUUAUUUAGCCUCUCCUCUAAGGAUGACCUAGCCAGAUACAUUCUAAACAAUGCUUCAUUGUAGAAGGUGUAAACUAUUUUGGGCUUGAUGUGCUGUGAAUGUUGCUUUUUUUCCUUUGUUAAAAUAUUUAAAUAGAAGUGAAAAGGUCCUUGGAGGAUCAGAUCCUGCAUGCGCCAUUUUUUACUUAAUGCAGCUGUUAAAUUGGCAAAGCUCUAAAGUGCACUGCUGCCAUCCAGUGGUACAUUUUUGUAAAGUACAGCAAACCUACAGAUAUAUACAGUAUAUAAAUAUAUAUAUCUAUAUUUAUAUUUUUGGGGAUGGGAAAUCCAAAAUAAAUGCUUGUUUCAUUUUUAAGCUGCUGAUACUCAUUCCUUAUUGUAUGUUAUUGGAUGAGGAAACUGCAGUUCCUGGUACAUAAAGAUAAGUAAUAUAAAGUCUGUAAAUUAAGGGCUUAACCUAUUACUUUAAGAAGCUGGAAAAAGUCCAGUGAAUGGAUGUAAUGAAUUGCAGUAUAUAUGUAUGAUUGCUUUUUAAUAACUAUUUUUUCUUUGGUUUAAUCUGUAAAUUCUUAAAUCCUUUUGCACUGAUGUGUUGAACCUUACUCUUGUACAUUCAGUCAAGGCAAACUUUUAUAAUUUACCUUUUGUUUUCAAUGACCUUGACAUGUUAUAGCAUGGUGGGAUUCUAUGCAAGUAGUUAUACUUUUGGUUUGGCACUGUACUUUUUUUCACAUUGAUUUAAUGGUUGGUGGUAGAUUUUAUAACCUGACCGGGUUCUCAUGCAGUAUGUAACUAUAGAUGCAUGUCUUUGCGUUUUGUGUAAUUGUUGAAGUGCAAUGUUGUAUAAAAAGUGGAUUCACCUGUUUUUAACAAUAAAACAUUGAUAAAAGUUGUUUGGAAUAACA